GGCUCAGGAUGAACGCUGGCGGCGUGCCUAACACAUGCAAGUCGAACGAAGCACUUUUUUACGAUCCCUUCGGGGUGACGAAUUUGUGACUGAGUGGCGGACGGGUGAGUAACGCGUGGGAAACCUGCCUUGUACCGGGGGAUAGCAGUUGGAAACGACUGAUAAUACCGCAUAAGCGCACAGUAUCACAUGAUACAGUGUGAAAAACUCCGGUGGUACAAGAUGGUCCCGCGUCUGAUUAGCUUGUUGGCGGGGUAAUGGCCCACCAAGGCGACGAUCAGUAGCCGACCUGAGAGGGUGACCGGCCACAUUGGGACUGAGACACGGCCCAAACUCCUACGGGAGGCAGCAGUGGGGAAUAUUGCACAAUGGAGGAAACUCUGAUGCAGCGACGCCGCGUGAGCGAUGAAGUAUUUCGGUAUGUAAAGCUCUAUCAGCAGGGAAGAUAAUGACGGUACCUGAGUAAGAAGCUCCGGCUAAAUACGUG
rnacentral:rRNA from 1 species